rnacentral:rRNA from 1 species
UAACAUUGAGCUGUGAUGGGGAGCGAAGUUUAGUAGCGAAGUUAGUGACGUCACACUGCCAAGAAAAGCUUCUAGCGUUUAAACAUACUCUACCCGUACCGCAAACCGACACAGGUAGUCGAGGCGAGUAGCCUCAGGUGAGCGAGAGAACUCUCGUUAAGGAACUCGGCAAAAUGACCCCGUAACUUCGGGAGAAGGGGUGCUGACUUUAAGUCAGCCGCAGUGAAUAGGCCCAAGCAACUGUUUAUCAAAAACACAGCUCUCUGCUAAAUCGUAAGAUGAUGUAUAGGGGGUGACGCCUGCCCGGUGCUGGAAGGUUAAGAGGAGUGCUUAGCGUAAGCGAAGGUAUGAAUUGAAGCCCCAGUAAACGGCGGCCGUAACUAUAACGGUCCUAAGGUAGCGAAAUUCCUUGUCGGGUAAGUUCCGACCCGCACGAAAGGCGUAAUGAUUUGGGCACUGUCUCAAC